GAAAGGCUUUGGGUAUUGUUAUGAGUCAUAUUAAUGUGAUGUUCAGAGUUACCUCCCCGUCACCAAACACUCACAUACCCUAACUCCCACAGGCCCAUAUACACACAUUCACACCCACAUUGGCCUGUAUGCACAUAAACACACACCUGCACACCCACACGCUCACAUCCAAUAAACACACACCUACACACCCACACGCCCACAUCCAAUAAACACACACCUGCACACCCACCACACCCACAUCCAAUAAACACACACCUGCACACCCACACGCUCACAUCCAAUAAACACACACCUACACACCCACACACCCACAUCCAAUAAACACACACCUGCACACCCGCCACACCCACAUCCAAUAAACACACACCUGCACACCCACACACUCACAUCCAAUAAACACACACCUGCACACCCACACGCUCACAGCCAAUAAACACACACCCACACACCCACACACUCACAUCCAAUAAACACACACCUGCACACCCACACGCUCACAGCCAAUAAACACACACCUGCACACCCACACGCUCACAGCCAAUAAACACACCUGCACACCCACCCACACACAUCCAAUAAACACACACCUGCACACCCACACACUCACAUCCAAUAAACACACACCUGCACACCCACACGCUCACAGCCAAUAAACACACACCUGCACACCCACACGCUCACAUCCAAUAAACACACACCUCCAUAUCCAGGCAUCCAGGCAUUUCCUCACACUGCACAUGGACCUCCAAACCUUUGCCUGACACAUAAACUCUAAUACUUACGUUCUCUCUGACAUGUACUCACGCACACAUGCACA
rnacentral:lncRNA from 1 species